rnacentral:rRNA from 1 species
UACGUAGGGUGCAAGCGUUAAUCGGAAUUACUGGGCGUAAAGCGUGCGCAGGCGGUUAUAUAAGACAGAUGUGAAAUCCCUGGGCUCAACCUAGGAACUGCAUCUGUGACUGUAUAGCUAGAGUACGGUAGAGGGGGAUGGAAUUCCGCGUGUAGCAGUGAAAUGCGCAGAUAUGCGGAGGAACACCGAUGGCGAAGGCAAUCCCCUGGACCUGUACUGACGCUCAUGCACGAAAGCGUGGGGAGCAAACAGG